UAGCCGUAAACGAUACUCGCUAGGUGUCGGCCACGGUGCGACCGUUGUCGGUGCCGUAGGGAAGCCGUGAAGCGAGCCACCUGGGAAGUACGGCCGCAAGGCUGAAACUUAAAGGAAUUGGCGGGGAGCACCACAACGGGUGGAGCUUGCGGUUUAAUUGGAUUCAACGCCGGAAAUCUUACCGGGACCGACAGCAACAUGAAGGCCAGGCUGAAGACUUUGCCGGAUUAGCUGAGAGGAGGUGCAUGGCGUAGUCGUGU
rnacentral:rRNA from 1 species